CCAGAGGAGGGGACCAGCUUCCUAGAGGGCUGAAGUGACUUGCACCGUGAACAGGGAUGCUAGGGCUUGCAGGCUUGAGGCCUGGAAAGAUGGUGAAGGAGCCAGAGGCAGGAGCUGAACAUGCUGGGGCUGUGGGGAAGUGAUCCAGGGGAUUAAGACAGACUGGUGGAGCUACAAAAACCAGACACCUGACGCUGAGAGACGAAGCAGACGCUGAGAGAAAGGAGCAGUAACAGGUCUGCAGGCAAAGGUGAGGUUGGGAGAGCCACCACCACCCAAGGGCACACCUGCUGGGACUGAGCUAAUUCCCGAAAUGCCCAGCAGGAGGCACCA